UUAAAGAGUUCUAUAACUCCCAAACCCAUGUGAACAUACCUAACGUUGCCUCGGCAGGUCGCACCUACCUUGUAGCACCCUACCCUGUAGGGCCUACCCGGGAGGUGCGGGUAAGCCUGCCGGCGGCCCACCAAACUCUGUUUGAUAUUGAAUUCUGAACCUAUAACUAAAUAAGUUAAAACUUUCAACAACGGAUCUCUUGGUUCUGGCAUCGAUGAAGAACGCAGCGAAAUGCGAUAAGUAAUGUGAAUUGCAGAAUUCAGUGAAUCAUCGAAUCUUUGAACGCAUAUUGCGCCCAUUAGUAUUCUAGUGGGCAGGACCGUUCGAGCGUCAUUUCAACCCUUAAGCCUUCGUUGCUUAGUGUUGGGAGCCUACGGCAACGUAGCUCCUCAAAGUUAGUGGCGGAGUUGGUUCACACUCUAGACGUAGUAAUUUUUUAUCUCGCCUAUUAGUUGGACUAAUCCCCUGCCGUAAAACCCCUAAUUUAUCAAGGUUGACCUCGAAUCGGUUCAGACAAACUCGCUAAAUUGAAGCAUCUUAGUCAGCGAAGGAAAAGAAACCAACAGGGAUUGCCCUAGUAACGGCGAGUGAAGCGGCAACAGCUCAAAUUUGAAAUCUGGCCCUCGGGUCCGAGUUGUAAUUUGUAGAGGAUGCUUU
rnacentral:rRNA from 1 species